rnacentral:tRNA from 1 species
CUUUUAAAGGAUCCAAGUCUAUGCCGU